rnacentral:rRNA from 1 species
GACGAACGCUGGCGGCGUGCUUAACACAUGCAAGUCGAACGGAAAGGCCCUGCUUUUGUGGGGUGCUCGAGUGGCGUACGGGUGAGUAACACGUGAGUAACCUGCCCUUGACUUUGGGAUAACUUCAGGAAACUGGGGCUAAUACCGGAUAGGAGCUCCUGCUGCAUGGUGGGGGUUGGAAAGUUUCGGCGGUUGGGGAUGGACUCGCGGCUUAUCAGCUUGUUGGUGGGGUAGUGGCUUACCAAGGCUUUGACGGGUAGCCGGCCUGAGAGGGUGACCGGCCACAUUGGGACUGAGAUACGGCCCAGACUCCUACGGGAGGCAGCAGUGGGGAAUAUUGCACAAUGGGCGGAAGCCUGAUGCAGCAACGCCGCGUGCGGGAUGACGGCCUUCGGGUUGUAAACCGCUUUCGCCUGUGACGAAGCGUGAGUGACGGUAAUGGGUAAAGAAGCACCGGCUAACUACGUG